GAUUUCCGUGAUCAUCGAAUCUUUGAACGCACCUUGCGCUCUAUGGCAUUCCGUAGAGCAUGCCUGUUUGAGUGCCAUGAAAUCUCCCACCCCAAGCGGUUUUUACAUGAAACGGCUUGGCGGAUGGGGUCUGGAUGGGUGCCUCUGCCUGCGCUACCUAGCACAGGCUCGCCCGAAAUGCAUGAGCGCCUUGAGACACUUUGCAUCCGCCUCUCUGUUUGGGAGGAGGCGGCCAACCAGUGUUUUUCUCCUGGCAUGGCAUGAUACUUCAUUUGCUAUGUCACCUAAGAAAGGAAUGUUUGGUUGUGUCUGCGUGUGCUUCAAACUUGCCUCUGUGGCACAUCCCAAUUUCACUUCUGGUCUCAAAUCAGGUAGGAUCACCCGCUGAACUUAAGCAUAUCAAUAAGCGGAGGA
rnacentral:misc_RNA from 1 species